UGGGGAAUCUUGGACAAUGGGGGCAACCCUGAUCCAGCCAUGCCGCGUGAGUGAUGAAGGCCCUAGGGUCGUAAAGCUCUUUCGCCUGUGAAGAUAAUGACUGUAGCAGGUAAAGAAACCCCGGCUAACUCCGUGCCAGCAGCCGCGGUAAUACGGAGGGGGUUAGCGUUGUUCGGAAUUACUGGGCGUAAAGCGCGCGUAGGCGGACUGGAAAGUUGGGGGUGAAAUCCCAGGGCUCAACCCUGGAACUGCCUUUAAUACUGCCAGUCUUGAGUCCGAGAGAGGUGAGUGGAACUCCGAGUGUAGAGGUGAAAUUCGUAGAUAUUCGGAGGAACACCAGUGGCGAAGGCGGCUCACUGGCUCGAUACUGACGCUGAGGUGCGAAAGUGUGGGGAGCAAACAGG
rnacentral:rRNA from 1 species